UGCUAUGUCUACUAAGUCUCCUGAAGGUCUCCCUGAAAAACCCGGAUCCAAAACCUUUCUUGACUUCAAUAGAAGUACAUUGGCUAGCUAUGAUAUAAAAAAGGUAGCAGAUUUACUGGUAAAGAUGAGGCUGGAACAAUAUGCUGAGACAUUUCAGAGGGAGCAAAUUGAUGGUA